rnacentral:rRNA from 1 species
CGUAGGUGGCAAGCGUUGUCCGGAUUUAUUGGGUUUAAAGGGUGCGUAGGCGGCCCUGUAAGUCAGUGGUGAAAUAUCUCAGCUUAACUGAGAGGGUGCCAUUGAUACUGCGGGGCUUGUGUACAGAUGAGGUAGGCGGAAUUGACGGUGUAGCGGUGAAAUGCAUAGAUAUCGUCAAGAACUCCGAUAGCGAAGGCAGCUUACUAAGCUGUAACUGACGCUGAGGCACGAAAGUGUGGGGAUCAAACAGGAUUAGAUACCCUGGUAGUCCACACUGUAAACGUUGAUGACUCGAUGUUGGCGAUACACAGCCAGCGUCCAAGAGCAAUCGUUAAGUCAUCCACCUGGGGAGUACGCCGGCAACGGUG